UACGUAGGGUGCGAGCGUUGUCCGGAAUUAUUGGGCGUAAAGAGCUUGUAGGCGGUUUGUCGCGUCUGCUGUGAAAAUCCGGGGCUCAACCCCGGACUUGCAGUGGGUACGGGCAGACUGGAGUGUGGUAGGGGAGGCUGGAAUUCCUGGUGUAGCGGUGGAAUGCGCAGAUAUCAGGAGGAACACCGGUGGCGAAGGCGGAUCUCUGGGCCAUUACUGACGCUGAGGAGCGAAAGCGUGGGGAGCGAACAGG
rnacentral:rRNA from 1 species